ensembl:lncRNA
UUGUAUUGCUGUUUGUUUAUUAUAAGUUCAAGUCAUUGUCGAGUCUUCCACUUCAAGUCAAGUCUCAAGUAACUUGUUCUCAAGUCAAGUCAUUUUCAUACUUUAAUCAAGCAAGUCACAAGUCCUGAAAAUUGACUCAUGUGACUCGAGUCUACACGGGUCAAGAAAAUGUCCAAAAGUGGGGAGUCUACUUUGCAGCGACAGACCCUGGGUUGAGGAAGAGACUAUGCUAACCGCUACAUUUAAAUUUAUUAAGCUACCACUAGACAUUUGUCUGGACAUUGGAUUUGGGAAGAUACCAGUGGGAAUCAAGACAACGGCUGUUUGGUCGUAUUGAUCCCGCAAGGAUAGAGACAGUUUAGGCUUCUCUUUGGGCUCGCCAUGAGCGAUCCGACUGGAACACGCAGGAACGCUGAACCGCCUGGGGGAGGGGUGCUGACGGUCAGAGGAGACGGAUCAGAGGAGACGGACCAGAGUGCGUCUACCGGUGAGCAUAUAUUGAUGUUGUUACACUUAAUGUACAAGCAUUUAGGGAACACGUAGAGUAUUGAGUUAAACACACAAUGUUUCUUACGAUUCAUGGUGAACAUAUUAAAUUUUUUGGUUUACUUUCUGUUUUUCAAUUAAUUUGUUAGCUAGGAAAUUGAUGACACGGUUAGGGAUCACACUAAUAUGUUCAGACAGCUAUACGAUUUCAACGUCCUGUUUUACAUGCAGUGGGCAGCCUGUUGAUUAUUCUUCUUGGGAUUUAGAAAGAACAGGGCCUAGAGCUGUUUCCCAUGAGUUCUUGAAUAAGGCGUUUCAUAGAGUAGGAAGGGGUUCGGCCCGGUUUAUGGAUGUGGGCGACUUGCGUUGCUCGGCGAAAGUUUCAGUAAGUCAGGAUGUUGGUUUUGAGAAAGUGUGGUUUGAAGAUGGUAAAAGUGAUUCUUUGACGGGUGACUAUGUAUAGCUCCCGUGUUUAAUUAAUUGUUAGAGAACGGCACAUUUGUUCCAUGUCCAAACAGCCUCUGUCGCAUUUCUAUUUUCCCAGUUAAGAUCUAAAAUACAUUGGACUGCGGUAAUUAGACUGCAAGAUGGAGUACCGUUUGCUCCUGUAUAUAAUGGUUUUGGAUGUUGAAUUGUGAAUAUGUCUGAUUGUGGUCGGCCUUGUAAAUGCAUUUGUCCAUUUUGGUAUUCCCUGUGCACGAAGGAUCCGAUUGGCUGCAUUGAGUAUUCCUUGAUAGAAUAUUUGAUCGUUUACCGAGGUUGGUGUUAACUAGGCUCAGUCAGGAGGCGUUCAGGACUGUGAGGUUCCAUAUGGGCUGAGACAUUAGAACAGAAGAACAGGACCACAAUCUCUAGCCAAUUUUCACCCUCCAAUAAACAAUCUGAUCCUGUCAAAUAAAUGUACUAUCCCAGAAAAAGGGGCUAACAUCAGCCUUACACAGACAGUGGUGAUGCAAGAAUAUACAAUAUCUUGGCUGUCCUUUGCCUUAUACCAAGGAAGGCCUCUCACUUCUUUCAGUAAAUAUGGAUGUGUCUGUCUUACUGUAAGUGAUGGAAUUCAUAUCCCUUCACAUAUCUUCUAUCAGUAUACUGUGCUUACAUUUUAGCCCAUAUGAGUAGAUAAUUGGAAGAAAAUUGCACAAGACCAAUCUGUAAGACAGACUCCCUGUUCACCUGUCAUUUCCCAUCCUCUGCCUCCAGAACACAGCGCACUUCCUGUUCUCCAUGAACGCAGCUCAGUACCCGGUUUCCAAUCACCUAAAUAUUAGUCACCUGUUCUCCCACCUGGUUUUCAUUAGUUGUUCCCUAUUUAAUUCAGUUUGAUGAUCCUUAUUUGUGAGGUAUUAUUUUGUAUUUGUACGACAUACUAAGCCUUUCUAAAGAGUUCUCUUAGAUUAUUAGCUUUUCCCUCCUGCUUGUUUAUUCUUGAUCCUGUUUUGAGCCUGCCUGAUUUUGUACCUAUGCUUUUCUGUUCUGCAGUGUAUCAACCAUUGCCUGCCUGAACACUGCC